AUGCCCCUUGCGUCCAUGCCUCCCACCACACGCCACACUGCCUUUAACUCCCUCAUCUUCGGAUGCGCGCUUCAUGCGCUCCCGGCGGCCUGCUUCGCCCUCUUCCGCCGCAUGCGGGCGGCCGGCGCCCCCUUUGAUGCUGUCACACUCAUGACGCUGCUCUCCGCCGCUCCUCAGAGCGUCGUGUCGCAGCUCCAUGCCCUCGCGGGGAAAGCAGGGCUCGCCGCCGAGACAAACGUGGGCAACUGCCUCAUAUCAGCGUACGCGCGCCGCGGUGCUGGCCUUGGCCGGCAGGUGUUUGACGAGAUGCCAUUGACCUCCUGUGACAUUGUCUCAUGGAACGCCGUGCUGUCAUCCCACGCGCAGAAUGGCCUCGCAGGGGACGCCCUUGAUCUCUACGGCCGCAUGUGUGGCCACGAUGGCGGCGGCGUGGAGCCAGACGUCGUGAUGCUCGUGGGCGUGCUCUCAUGUGCCCACCUUGGAGAGUGCGAUGUAGGCCUAGGUGUCGAACACUGCAUGCAAGAGAGACUCCCAGGCUUCCGUGCCAACAUGCAGCUCUGCAACUCUCUCAUCAACUUCCAUGCGUGCUGCAGAAGUUUUCCCCAGGCCCAACGGUUGUUCAACAAAAUGCCCAGGAAGAGCAUUGUGUCUUGGACGGCACUGAUCACUGGGUACAGCAUGCACGGGCAUGGUGAUGUUGCUGUAUAUCUCUUCUAGGCGAUGGUGUCAGAAGGCACCCGACCAGAUAAUGUCGCAAUGGUCGGCCUCUUGUCGACAUGCAACCACGCUGGAAUGUACGAGGAUGGGCACAAGUACUUCUCAUCAAUGGAGAGUACAUACCAGUUGCGACCUACACUGUUGCACUACACCUGCAUGGUGGACCUCCUUGGACGGGCCGACCGUCUCAAGGAGGCGCAAGAACUCAUUUCUUCAAUGCCCAUGUCAGCCGAUGGUGUCGUGUGGGGUGCCCUUCCACUAGUAGAAAACAGGGCUUUGGUCCAGGCCAGGUAA
rnacentral:rRNA from 1 species